rnacentral:rRNA from 1 species
UACCAGUUCCAUAAGUGUAUAUUAAAGUUGUUGCAGUUGAAAAGCUCGUAGUUGGAAUGGAGUUAUUGUGCGUUUGCGAUGUGGGGGAAACUUCAUGUGGCGGAGGCAUGGUAGCUGAUAUAAAGCAUUUAUUGGUGGUUGCUCAUUUAUUUGGGUGAUCGUAUAUUGAUGGAUGCAUUUUACUAUUAAAAAUUAGAAAGUUUCAAUUAAGUUGUAAUUGGAUUUUUGAAUAGUCGAAGAAUGGUAUAAUAGAAUAGGAUUUUUGGAAUCAGUUUGGAAUGUUAGAUGAUUCUAGAGUAAUGAUUAAUAGAGAUAGAUGGAGAUAUUUGUAUUUUGAUGGCUAGAGGUGAAAUUCUUGGAUUCUUCAAAGACAAACUAACGCGAAAGCAUUUAUCAAGUAUAUGCUCGUUAAUCAAGAACUAAAGUAAAGGGAUCAAAGAUGAUUAGAUACCGUCGUAGUCUUUACUAUAAACUAUGCCGAUUAGGGAUCUAUUUAUUACGUA